UCCAUGACCUUAAGAAUCGUCUAUUCGAAGCUUACACUAUAAAGUUAUGAAAAGUUUUAACUAUUACUAGCUUUGGGUUGAAAGUCUCCCACCGGGUUCAUAUGCGGAAAUCGUAUUGAGAUUUAAAAAUUCAUUUGUCUUUUAAUGCUAGGGUGAGCAGUAUUAAUAUUGUUUAUCUCCUAAUUUUUAGAACAUAGUUUUUAAAUCAACUCAAUAACAAGAAAUAUAUAUAUUUAAUAUGUAUUUUUUUUGUUACCUUCUUCAAAUAGUAAAGUGUUUGGAGUGUACAGGUUAUUUAUUACCCUUUCGGUAUUGAUCAAUUAAAACUUGAUUAAACCAUAGUUAUGACGAUUGAUUCAUUUGGUUUGUAUAGUCAUUAGUACUCUGCAACUCAAUGGAUUAACUCAAUGGAGCUUAUUUUCUUUGGUCCAUGG